CGAGCCCAUGUGUCCCACUUGUCUGGAAGAACGUUUGGAGUCUGGUAGUCUGGUCCUUUUCGUAGCUCCAGAGGAUUUUUAGGAGCAUGGGGAGCAUGGGAUGCAUGAACCUGUGGACCAACAAAACACUCUGGAGAAUGCUGGCUGUGGAUAAAAGCAUCUGGAAGUUUCUACCAUCUUUUUACCCUGUUUUCUCCUGGGUCACUCUGUGUCAUUUGUGGCCCUGUCCUAAGGAUUAUAGCACACAGUCACUUACUGGAAUACCUCCCCAUGCAUCUUCUUGAAAUUGAACCACUGCUUUACUCAGCUGGAAGAUAUUUUCUAUUCUCCCAGAGCUUUUCCAGUGCAGCAGCAGCACUCCUGUCCAGCAGGUCUCGAUUGACUGCAGAAAGGAGAAGGGAGGAGUGUGUCAAAGGGAGGUCAGAUCCUGCCAGGGUUUCCUGGCAAAUGAGGUCUAUCCACUGUUUGGAUGAUGGAACUUGAUGAGCUGCAAUUCAGUUUGGAUUACAAUAUUUCAGAAGACUUUUUGAACUUGCCAGGCAACCCUUCCCCUAGACUUUGGGGACAGAGGAGCUUAAAUUUAUGUUUCCAGUGUCACACAAGGAGAUAGAAUGGAGUUGGCUGCUUUACACAAGUAAUGAAAAUCAAUGCUGUGUUGCUCUUGGAAGGAGUGCUUAUAAGGAGAAAAGUGUGGCAUACACAUCUUGGUUUAGAGGCAGAUUUUAUCUGGGAAGAAUGUGCCCAGGGGAAGAUACAAGAAGAAGGAGAAGAGGUGAUGCUACAAGCCAGCUUCUUGACCUCCAGAGUGGGACUGAAGCUUUUUAACAAGAUUUAUCUGGAAAGUAUGACUGACAGGAGCAGCUUACUCACCAUUAGAUAAGUAUUGCAGAUGACUCAUGCUGGAGUAUUGAUAGCUGCUGCUAAGAUGGAUAUCCUGUUUUAUAACAGCUGUAGUGUGAUGCCAAGAGCCAGAAACCUUAAUUUCACUGUCCAUGCUUUUCCCUGAAUGUGCUUUGGGUCUCUGGCACCUUUUCUCCUGUGUUUGUCCAUCUAAAGGGUUCACAGGGAGGGGAGGUUUUGCUUCCCUCAGUGGGGUACAGGAUAUGGGACAGCUCAUGUCACCUUGAAAUGAAAACUAGUGUUGAAAUGCUGCAGCUUUUAUAGGUGUUCUCCAGGACAUGCAAUAUUUGUCUUUUUAAUAGAUACCAUUAGUGACUUUCCUCGAUUCUUUGGGUUUUUUUGUUUUGUUUGUGUUUUUUCAGAGCCAUUAUACCCCUUCUUCAGCAGAACAAACCAGAAGGUGUAGAAACAGGUAAGGCAGCUGCUGUUGCAGCAUGUUACUUUUGAAUCAUUAAGGGAAAAAUACUGGCUGCAGUAGAGUGCAAAAAAAACCCCGUUGACUCAAUGGCAAGUGAGAGUUGUACCCAAUGAACUCAGCUCCAUGAGAGGCCCUGGAAUUGCUACAUCCAGGGACAAACUUGCAGGCUACCUGAGAGCACCUGUCUGAACCUCCCUCUGCCUCCAAAACCACUGGCCUCAAGGCUGCGUGAGCAAUAGGCGAUGAGAUUUAAGAAGUGAUGAGCAAUAGAAAGGAGCCUGCCCUUGGGGCAGAUGCAAAAGGAGCUGAGCUGUGAAGGUGGGGGAUAUGUCCUGGAUGGCAGGAGCUGCUGGGGAGGUGUUAACCCACAUGGGAUGGCAGGGGACUGAGAUGGCUUUAGCUUGGAUGGGUGCAAAGGGCCAUGCAGCAAUGAGAGAAAUUUGGAGUUAAAAGGAGAAAUUUUUCAAGGCAGCACUGUAGCGAAGGCCAUGCUGCUAGUGAUGGCAGCACAUGUGGCUCUGCCCCAUGUGCCUACCUGUGUGUGGGUGGUGUCACUGGGGAUGGCUGGGACCCCACCUGUACCACACUCUUGGGCAUCACCUGUGGUUCAUACCAUCUUUACACUGCCGAGAAUGUUUGGUUUCCACGGUGCUGGGCCAUGACUGAGAAGCUGUGGCUUGAGCAGUGUGUCCCUUUCACCAGCAGGAGCCUGGAGCAGGACCUUCCAGUGGGGCAGUGGAGGUGUGUCAGGUGCUGCACCUGAUUUCUCAGCAAAAUGAACCAGAGCCUGGAAGAAGAAUCUGGCUUGAGGAUCUGUGCUGUGUCCCAGCAGCAUGAUUUGGGUCUCAGCAUUUACUGUGAGGGUGGUGAGACACUAGAGCAGGUUACCCAGAGAACUCUGGAUGUUUCCUGUGGAACACUUCAAUCCCUGGAAGUGUUCAAGGCUGGGCUGGACAGAGCUCUAAGCAACCUGAUCUAGUGAGAGAUGUCCCUGCCCAUAGCAGGGGGGUUGGAUUAGAUCAUCCUUGAAGGUCCCUUACAACCCAACACAUUCUAUGGUUCUGGUUUUUUGAUACUUUGCUACAUUCAUUGGAGCUUGUGUUCUUCAGGCUGUAACAGCCCUUUGGAGUAAAGAGCUGGAUCCUGAUCAUGUGUAAAAUAAAACAAACUUAUUGCAUCUGGCUCCAGCAGAAACCCCUGCAUGAUGGCUUGUAACAUAGUCUCAGU